UACGUAGGGUGCGAGCGUUUGUCCGGAAUUAUUGGGCGUAAAGAGCUUGUAGGCGGUUUGUCGCGUCUGCUGUGAAAAUCCGGGGCUCAACCCCGGACUUGCAGUGGGGUACGGGCAGACUAGAGUGUGGUAGGGGAGACUGGAAUUCCUGGUGUAGCGGUGGAAUGCGCAGAUAUCAGGAGGAACACCGAUGGCGAAGGCAGGUCUCUGGGCCACUACUGACGCUGAGGAGCGAAAGCGUGGGGAGCGAACAGG
rnacentral:rRNA from 1 species